GUCUUUUUGAUUAUAAUUUAAAGUCUAGCCUGCCCAAUGAGGAGUUGAAUGGCCGCGGUAAUUUGACCGUGCAAAGGUAGCAUAAUCAUUAGUUUUUUAAUUGAAAGCUGGAAUGAACGGUUGGACGAGAAAAUAACUGUCUCAAUUUAAUUGAAUAUAGAAUUUUAUUUAUAAGUAAAAAAGCUUAUAUAAUUUUAAAAGACGAGAAGACCCUAUAGAAUUUUAUAUUUUAUUAUACUGAUUAGGGUUAGUAUGCGUAUAUUUUUAGUAUAAUAACAUAUUUUGCUGGGGCAGCAGAAAAAUUAAAUAAACUUUUUUUACUAGUAUUACAUUGAUUUAUGAUUUAAUGAUCCAUUAUUUAUGAUUAUAAGAUUAAAUUACCUUAGGGAUAACAGCGUAAUUUUUUUUAGAGUUCUUAUCGAAAAAAGAGUUUGCGACCUCGAUGUUGGAUUAAAAUUAACUUUUGGUGCAGGGGCUAAAAGGUUAGGUCUGUUCGACCUUUAAAAUUUUACA
rnacentral:rRNA from 1 species